rnacentral:rRNA from 1 species
AGAGUUUGAUCCUGGCUCAGGACGAACGCUGGCGGCGUGCCUAACACAUGCAAGUCGAGCGGAGUAAAGUUUGACACUGAGUAUUUGAAGUAGAAAAAAGAACUAGUGUCAAAUACUGAGUGUUGAACUUUACUUAGCGGCGGACGGGUGAGUAACGCGUGGGCAACCUGCCUUACACAGGGGGAUAACACAGGGAAACU